AUUAAAAAAGAAAAAUCGAAUUUUUAAUUUUCUCUAUCCAAUUCCAACGACUUGGGUGUCAAGCGAUUUCAUCAUCAUCAUCUUCAUCUUCGUGUUGCACUGAGCAUUUCGAGCAAUGCAUUGCCAUGGGCACGAGAUUUCUCUGUCUCUGCGUCUCUUACGCGUCUCUGUUUCAGCAGCAGAAGUCAAAACGUUGGUGAAUUUUUUGCCAGUUCCGUUGUUAUGGCACAUAAACGUUUUCUUUCUUGUCUGGUCAUAUAUAUACAUAUGAUAUGAUGUGUCAUCAUUAAUAACAAUAUUAUUAUAUUUAUAUGUUUCUCCUUCUUCUUUGGUCGGAGUUACGUUCUGCGGGCAAUGGGACACUCGUUAUGUUUCAGUGAAUUGAACGUGGGUGAUGGAAUUCGAUGUGUACCAUGUCGUGGCUCUGCAAUUUUAGACAAAGUUUCCGUGCGGAUCGUAAUCGACAAGUUCAUGUUGAUCUGGAGAAAGGGGCGGGAUGUUGAUUUCGCAGCCAUUGGCAGGGGAAGUCGAACGGGUUUGUCGAUAUCCUUCCUCAGAAGGAGAGUUGUGAGCCGGAAGGACGAGCCAAGGUCGAGGAUGAUUUCUACUAUAGUUUACGGAGGACAAGAUCGACGGAAAUAAGCGCUGCGAACCAUGCAUGCCGGAGAGGGGUUGCCGGGCCGUGUUGGAUUCGUUGCGUAAAGUCUUGGAAUGUGCCGAUCAAUCUCUUACGAGGGGGAGCAGCCGUUAAUUUACUUUUCGUGAUGUCAAAAGUUUAUACAAUUUGGUUUUGUGUCCAUAAAAAAUCCGAAUUUUUUUUAAUCAUGCAUAAUUCGACUGCAGCUAAUCUACAGAUUGCUUAAUGGGUCAUCCGUAUCUGCGUUUGAUGAUAUGAUUUUGCUCAAUACAUUUAUACAUAUAUUUAUUAUUAUAGUUUGUAUUUUUGGAACAGAGAUGGGAAGUUUUAAGGUUUUCCAAUGUCUUCCUUCCGACAUGGUGUAUGUGCUCUCUCUGCCUCGUUUCUGUCUCCGUCUCUGUUUCUGCUUCUAUACCGUGUUUCCUUGAUUUGCACAGAAGGUGGGUUGGAAGGAGGUGUGCGGCCAAAGAUAGCCGUCGAAGAGCUCCGUCGUGUCGAUGUGAAGGUUUCUCGCUUCUUGCGGGAUUUCGGAUCCAGCACCGGAGUUCCAUCGUUGGAAGUGGGUAAGGAAAUUGCUGGUGGGAUCGCCUGUUUGGUUGUUGAAGUUGCCAUCUGUACUUCCAUGGCAGCACCUCGGACUUGGUCAAUCUUCCGGUGGAGCUCUUCGUUGGUAGACCCGACAGUCGGGGUUCGAUCUUCCAGAGGGUCUAUGAAACCGGGCAGUCGAGAAUUUGAGCGAAUUGAAUUCGACCGUUCACUGGUCGGAAAUCGGGGCCUAGAUGUGGUAUGUUUGAUGAUAAGAGGGCAUGAGCUUUCUUUAGUGGGGACCAAGAAUGGUGGUUCCACCACAUAAAUCUUCCCUCAGCUUCACGCAGUUCACAGGAACUGAAUGAGGCCUUCGCCUUUUCGGUUCGGAGGCUGAAGAGGUCUGAAUCUGAAUACAUCCUUUAAUACCUGGGGAAGAAACGUAACGUAUGGCUACAGCUUAUGAGGGCACCCAUACCGGAUGGAAUGCCGUGGAGCGGAGCAGAUACUUGUAGCCGUUAAACAGUUUGAAUGCUAUAAACUUUUUUCGCUAUCUCGGGCCGAGUCCGAGGUCUCGGUUCUCUCUCGAUGACUAGAGGUAAAGCUAUUGUGGGGCGGAAGGCGGACGGGGCUAAGUCAACUACGUCGGGGUUGUCAUCAGUCAACAGUUCUUGGAAGUCGAUAUUAAAGGAGUCGUCGAAAGCAGUCAUGGACAUUUUAUUGGUGUCCGAAUCUCUCUAAUUCUCGAUGACAUGCAUCAGCUAUGGACGGCAAGGCUUCUGUUUGACAAACCGGGAAUGGAGUAUGCAGUUCACGAGUUCAAUUUGAUGAUCAGAUCAUUGAGACACUCGGGAAAGAUCAGGCAGCAAAGAUCUGUAGUUUAUAGGGUCCGAGAGAAGACCACGUCAAGCAUAGUAUUCUCCCGGAUUGUCGUGCAUCAAGGACCAGGAUGCUCGAUAUGAAACCAGGCAGUCUGUAAGAACAUUAACGCAGCCAUCAGAUGCCAUGGCGGUACGCAUCAUACAUGGGCCAAUGUUAUUUUCAUAAGAAGAUUUGCUUCGACAUAUUAUUCUCAUAACCGGGUAGACCAUACACGAACCUGUACAUAUCAGCGGCCAUCAAUGCCAUUAUUUGACACACUAUACA